rnacentral:rRNA from 1 species
UACGGAAGGUCCGGGCGUUAUCCGGAUUUAUUGGGUUUAAAGGGAGCGCAGGCGGGAGGUUAAGCGUGACGUGAAAUGUCCCGGCUCAACCGGGGAGUUGCGUCGCGAACUGGCCUUCUUGAGUGGGUGCGACGGAGCCGGAAUUCGUGGUGUAGCGGUGAAAUGCUUAGAUAUCACGAGGAACUCCGAUUGCGAAGGCAGUCUCCGAGCCCUCAACUGACGCUAAUGCUCGAAAGUGCGGGUAU